UGGAAAAUGUAGAGUACUAUCAGCCUCCAAAAAUCAGCAGUUCAUUUUGGAGUUCCUAUUGUAUUCUCGUUAAUUUAUGCACAAACAUGGACGGUAGCAACAAUCUGCGUUGAUACUGUGGCAUUGUGCAAUAAAACUAUAACUUCAGAAUGCGCAAAAUGUCUCAUUGUACAGAAAAUUGUACUCAAUUGAAACACGGAUAAAGCGAAUCAUCAUCAUUAUAAAAUAUCUACAUAUAAAGAAAAUAAA
rnacentral:snRNA from 1 species